rnacentral:rRNA from 1 species
AUUGAACGCUGGCGGCAGGCUUAACACAUGCAAGUCGAGCGGGGGAAGGUAGCUUGCUACCGGACCUAGCGGCGGACGGGUGAGUAAAGCUUAGGAAUCUGCCUAUUAGUGGGGGACAACAUUUCGAAAGGGAUGCUAAUACCGCAUACGUCCUACGGGAGAAAGCAGGGGAUCACUUGUGACCUUGCGCUAAUAGAUGAGCCUAAGUCGGAUUAGCUAGUUGGUGGGGUAAAGGCCUACCAAGGCGACGAUCUGUAGCGGGUCUGAGAGGAUGAUCCGCCACACUGGGACUGAGACACGGCCCAGACUCCUACGGGAGGCAGCAGUGGGGAAUAUUGGACAAUGGGGGGAACCCUGAUCCAGCCAUGCCGCGUGUGUGAAGAAGGCCUUUUUGGUUGUAAAGCGACUUUUAAAGUGGGGAGGAGGCUUACCUGGUUAAUACCUGGGCUAAGUGGACGUUACCCACAGAAUAAGCACCGGCUAACUCUGUGCCAGCAGCCGCGGU